AUUGAACGCUGGCGGCAUGCUUUACACAUGCAAGUCGAACGGUAACAGGCCGCAAGUUUCUGACGAGUGGCGAACGGGUGAGUAAUGCAUCGGAACGUGCCCAGUCGUGGGGGUUAACUACUCGAAAGAGUAGCUAAUACCGCAUACGAUCUAUGGAUGAAAGCGGGGGACCGUAAUGCCUCGCGCGAUUGGAGCGGCCGAUGUCAGAUGAGGUAGUUGGUGGGGUAAAGGGUCACCAAUCCAACGAGCUGUAGCUGGUCUGAGAGGACGACCAGCCACACUGGGAGUGAGCCGCGGCCAAGACUCCUACGGGAGGCAGCAGUGGGGAAUUUUGGACAAUGGGCGCAAGCCUGAUCCAGCAAGGCCGCGUGCAGGAAGAAGGCCUUCGGGUUGUAAACUGCUUUUGUACGGAACGAAACGGCUCUGGUUAAUACCCGGGGCUAAUGACGGUACCGUAAGAAUAAGCACCGGCUAACUACGUG
rnacentral:rRNA from 1 species